CAAAAUGUAACUUAACUAAAAGUGCCCUGCUUACACCAAGGACAUGUCUGUGAAACACCGACCAUUUUGA
rnacentral:tRNA from 1 species